AAUCCGCCGGCCCGCAGCUGGACCCACGAAGCCAGGCGCCACCAUCUUCUUCCAUCGACUUUGUCUAGGGUUAGGGGGUCACCAUCUGCGAUCGCAGGCGGAAGGUGGAUCCGCGAGGAGGUGCUCUGCUACGCGAUGUUGCUGCGGCUGCUGCGUUCGUGGCGGCGCCGUCACCACCCGCCGCAGAGAGGCGGAGCGCUGGCAGCCGCGCUGGUGAUACUCCUCCCGGUUUUCUUCCCGUCGCUCUUCACCCCGCUCGGCCACGCAUUCCCUUCCCUCUUCUCCGAAUGGAAUGCUCCCAAACCGAUGCAUCUAUCUCUUCUAAGGGAUGCCUUAGAACGUAAAACAUCAAUUGAUCAACAGUCUGAGCUUUGGGCUCCCUUAGCAUCACAAGGAUGGAAACCUUGUAUUGAAUCUACAAGUACCUCUUCACUCCCCAGUAAGUCAAAUGGAUAUAUUCAGGUUUUCCUUGAUGGUGGACUGAACCAACAGAGAAUGGGAAUCUGCGAUGCAGUUGCUGUUGCUAAAAUUUUGAAUGCUACCCUUGUUAUCCCAUACCUUGAAAUCAAUCCUGUCUGGAGAGACUCAAGCUCUUUUGAGGAAAUAUAUGAUGUGGAUCAUUUUAUUGAUGUCCUCAAAGAAGAAAUCUCAGUAACUAGAGAAUUGCCCAAGGAAUACUCUUGGAGCACUAGAGAGUAUUAUGCUAUUGGCAUUCGGGCUACAAGAGUAAAGACUGCACCUUCUCAUGCUUCAGCAAACUGGUAUCUCGAGAAUGUUCUACCUGUCUUACAGAGUUAUGGUAUUGCUGCCAUUUCCCCUUUUUCACACCGAUUGGCUUUUGAGAAUUUGUCUGGGGAUAUACAACGCUUAAGGUGUAAGGUCAAUUUUCAAGCGUUGGCAUUUGUCUCUCAUAUCAACGCUUUAGGGGAGACACUUGUUAAGCGGUUGAGGAGUCCAGUCCAUCAACAACCUGAGGAGUUUUUAAAGGAAGUAGCGGAUGAAAAUGUUCAGGAGGGCCCUGGAAAGUUUGCUGUGCUGCACCUUAGGUUCGAUAAGGACAUGGCUGCACACUCUGCCUGUGAUUUUGGGGGUGGUAGAGCUGAAAGGCUUGCUUUGGCCAAGUACAGGCAAGUGAUUUGGCAAGGGAGGGUCUUAAACUCCCAAUUCACUGAUGAGGAAUUGCGAGGCCAGGGAAGAUGUCCAUUAACUCCCGAAGAAAUAGGAUUGCUACUGGCAGCUUUAGGCUUUGACAGCAGCACUCGUCUAUAUCUUGCCUCUCAUAAGGUGUAUGGUGGAGAGGCCAGGAUAUCCAGCCUACGCAUGCUUUUCCCACUGAUGGAUGAUAAGAAGAGUCUUGCUUCAGAAGAGGAGUUAGCUAAGGUGGAAGGAAAGGCAUCUCUUCUAGCCGCCGUCGAUUACUAUGUUAGCAUGCACAGUGAUAUCUUCAUUUCUGCAUCCCCAGGGAAUAUGCACAAUGCAGUUCUGGGCUAUCGAACUUACGAAAACUUGAAGACCAUACGACCAAACAUGGGUUUGCUAGGACAACUCUUCCUGAACAAGACCAUGGACUGGUCCGAGUUCCAACGGGCUGUCCAAGCUGGUCACAAAGCUAGACAAGGGCAAAUCAGGUUGAGGAAACCAAAACAAUCCAUAUAUACAUAUCCAGCUCCAGAUUGCAUGUGCCAAGGGUGAGCUGCCAAACUGGUCCUUUCUUACCACAUAGACUGAUCCUUUGAUGUCCUCUAACAUCAAACCCCUGUGUCCCUUGCUAUCAUUAAUUGUUAUCGGACCAAAUUGUUAUGCUAGAUUGUGUUAUGGUGUUCCUUGUGAAAAUUGUUCUUUUCAGAUGAAGAACACAUUUUUUCUCCUAGAAGUAUACCCUUCAAUUUGCAUUGGUUGCAUCAAUAGAGCAGAGUCUGUAGGCAGUCAACGGAAAAGAAAGCAGCGGCGGAAAGAUGACCUCGUACACUUUUGCCUGCACGCAGAUAAGAUAGUAGGCAUCGGCGCCUGCUCCGGUCAUGGCCGCAGCGACGUACCCCCAUCUUCGGCGACUUCGACUUCUUUUGCUGCUUAGGAAGGACUACUCUCCUGAAAGGGGUUUUGCUGUGAGAUCAAACGUUGUGGGAACAGCUUUGCCUUCAUCCAAAGACGCCAUUUGCAUGGCCAA